AGAGUUUGAUCCUGGCUCAGAACGAACGCUGGCGGCAUGCCUAACGCAUGCAAGUCGAACGGGAUCCAGACUUCGGUCUGGUGAGAGUGGCGGACGGGUGAGUAACGCGUGGGAACCUGCCCAAUGGUCUGGGAUAACCGCGGGAAACUGCGGCUAAUACCGGAUAAGCCCGAGAGGGGAAAGAUUUAUCGCCGAUGGAGGGGCCCGCGUCCGAUUAGGUAGUUGGUGAGGUAACGGCUCACCAAGCCUACGAUCGGUAGCUGGUCUGAGAGGAUGAUCAGCCACACUGGGACUGAGAUACGGCCCAGACUCCUACGGGAGGCAGCAGUGGGGAAUAUUGGACAAUGGGGGCAACCCUGAUCCAGCAAUGCCGCGUGAGUGAUGAAGGCCUUAGGGUUGUAAAGCUCUUUUACCGGGGACGAUGAUGACGGUACCCGGAGAAUAAGCCCCGGCUAACUUCGUGCCAGCAGCCGCGGUAAUACGAAGGGGGCGAGCGUUGUUCGGAAUUACUGGGCGUAAAGGGCGCGUAGGCGGCGACCCAAGUCAGAUGUGAAAGUCCUGGGCUUAACCUGGGGACUGCAUUUGAUACUGGGUUGCUUGAAUUCGGGAGAGGAUAGCGGAAUUCCCAGUGUAGAGGUGAAAUUCGUAGAUAUUGGGAAGAACACCGGUGGCGAAGGCGGCUAUCUGGACCGACAUUGACGCUGAGGCGCGAAAGCGUGGGGAGCAAACAGGAUUAGAUACCCCCGUAGUCC
rnacentral:rRNA from 1 species